CCCUUAGAGUUUGAUCAUGGCUCAGGACGAACGCUGGCGGCGGGCUUAACACAUGCAAGUCGAAGGAGAAGGUAGAAGCUUGCUUUUACUGGAGACUGGCGGACGGGUGAGUAACGCGUAGAUAACCUGCCUAUAGCUGGGGGAUAACACUGCGAAAGUGGUGCUAAUACCGCAUAAUGCAGCGGGGCCGCAUGGCCAUAGUUGUUAAAGGUUUCGACCGGCUAUAGAUGGGUCUGCGUGCUAUUAGUUAGUUGGUAGGGUAACGGCCUACCAAGGCGAUGAUAGCUAGGGGGUCUGAGAGGAUGAUCCCCCACACUGGGACUGAGACACGGCCCAGACUCCUACGGGAGGCAGCAGUGAGGAAUCUUGCGCAAUGGGCGAAAGCCUGACGCAGCCACGCCGCGUGCCGGAUGAAGGCCCUAUGGGUUGUAAACGGCUUUUACUAGGGAAGAACGAGAGGGUUUCGAUCUUCUGUGACGGUACCUAGUGAAUAAGCACCGGCUAACUCCGUGCCAGCAGCCGCGGUAAUACGGAGGGUGCAAGCGUUGUCCGGAAUCAUUGGGUGUAAAGGGUACGUAGGCGGGAGCCUAAGUCUGGGGUGAAAUCUUGCCGCUUAACGGUAAAAUGGCCCUGGAUACUGGGUUUCUUGAGUGCAGAAGAGGCAGGUGGAAUUCGUGGUGUAGCGGUGAAAUGCUUAGAUAUCACGAAGAACAUCAGUGGCGAAGGCGGCCUGCUGGUCUGCAA
rnacentral:rRNA from 1 species